rnacentral:lncRNA from 1 species
ACCUGUUAUCUCUCCUGAAAGAACCAGGAACUGGCUUUUCAUCUGAAGUGACCAGUUUCUGGAGAGCUCUUCUAGCCACAUGUGGUGACGAAAGGUUCAGUUUGAAAGGUGCUGACAGUGUCAAGCAAUUACAUAGAUCUGUGGUCACAAUCUAGGUAAAUAUUGGCAACUGGGGAUACAAGUUCAAUAGGAAGAGUUAUACAACAAGUGAGAGAUUGGCAAUAGAAAGGUAGAACCUCAACCCUAGCAAGGGAGUGAGGCAAUGAAUGACCAGGUUACCAGCAAAGGAAGUUGUGGUCAAGGAGAAAGCAAAUGUCCAGUGAGGAAGAGGUGACCCACUGAAGUGCUGGGACUUGUAAAUAA